UCUCUCUCUCUCUCUCUCUCUCUCUCCAUGUCUGACUUUGCAACUCUUAUCGCUUCCUUGCUUGGUUGUUGUAAUCGAAAGUGUGCUGCUUACACCAGAGAGCGAAAUUCAACUGAGUUGAGGAGAUAUAAUUUUGUUGAACUAGCAGACGCAACUCAAAGUUUCUCCAACAAUAAUUUGCUUGGCGUAGGUGGUUUUGGUACAGUCUAUAAGGGAUGUCUAGAUGAUAAAGUCGUUGCUAUCAAGAAACUUAGAUUUGUAAAAGAUGAAGAGCCAGAAGAAGAGCCACAAGAAAUCAAGUACCUUAAAAGAGUGAGUCACCGAAAUCUUGUUAACCUGAUUGGAUACUGCAAUGAUGGCGCUAAUAAAUUGCUUGUUUUAGAGUUUGUUCCCAAUAAAACCUUGAGACAUCAUCUAGAUGGAAAAGGGAACGUUUUAGAAUGGGCAAAAAGAAUGAAAAUCGCCGUAAAAUCUGCGGAUGGAUUGCAAUAUCUACAUGAAAAUUGUAAAAUUAUACACCGAGAUGUUAAGUCAGAAAAUAUUCUUCUUGACGAUAAUUUUGAACCAAAGCUUGCAGAUUUUUCGCUGGCCGUGUUUUUGCCAAAUAUUGACAAUGUUGGCCAUAUCACCAGUGUAUUAAGGGGAAAAAAUGUUUAUGCGGAUCCAGAGUACGCAAAACGAAAAGUAUCUAAGAAAUCAGAUGUUUAUUCCUUUGGCGUUGUGCUUCUGGAGCUAAUUACCGGAAGAAAACCUCUAAGUGAAAGUGACAGUAUUGUUACUUGGGCAAAAUCUCGAAUUGAAGAAGUACUAUACAGCAAGAAAUAUGAAGGUUUUGUUGAUUUGAAAUUGCGAGGAGCUUGUGAUGAAAGAGAAAUGCAAAGAAUGACUUAUUGUGCUGCUGCUUGUGUAUAUAAGCCUUUAAACUCUCGGCCAAACAUGAAACAGAUAAUUGAAAUUCUUGAAGGAACUACGCCUCUAAAGGAGAGGAUAUCUCUUCAUGGAGGUACUCGUUUUGAUCUACAGUCUGUACUUGGCAUUGAAAGCAAACAAAUUACUUCACCAAGAAUCUUUACUUUUGAAGAACUAGCAAGGGCAACAGCUCAUUUCUCUAACAAAAACUUGCUUGGCGAGGGUGUUUUUGGUAUAGUUUUCAAGGGAUCACUUGUAACUGGUGAAAUUGUUGCAAUUAAGAAGCUUAAACAUGUAGGUGAAGAGCAGAGCAAAAGUAGUGAAUUUGAGAAAGUGAUUAUGGACAUUAGCCACAUCUGUCAUCGAAAUCUUGUCAAGCUGAUUGGAUACUGCAUCGAAGAAUUCAAUAGAUUGGUUGUUUAUGAGUUUGUUCCCAACAAAUCCUUGGGAUUUCAUUUGCAUGGAAAUAACAGGAUGACUAUGGAUUGGUCAACUAGAAUGAGAAUCGCCAUGGGUGCCGCAAAAGGAUUGACAUAUUUGCAUGAAUGGUGUCAGCCUAAGAU
rnacentral:misc_RNA from 1 species